rnacentral:rRNA from 1 species
CCUACGGGGGGCAGCAGUGGGGAAUAUUGGACAAUGGGGGCAACCCUGAUCCAGCCAUGCCGCGUGUGUGAAGAAGGCCCUCGGGUUGUAAAGCACUUUCAGUGAGGAAGAACGCCUGGUGGUUAAUACCCAUCAGGAAAGACAUCACUCACAGAAGAAGCACCGUCUAACUCCGUGCCAGCAGCCGCGGUAAUACGGAGGGUGCGAGCGUUAAUCGGAAUUACUGGGCGUAAAGCGCGCGUAGGUGGCUUGAUAAGCCGGUUGUGAAAGCCCCGGGCUCAACCUGGGAACGGCAUCCGGAACUGUCAAGCUUGAGUGCAGGAGAGGAAGGUAGAAUUCCCGGUGUAGCGGUGAAAUGCGUAGAGAUCGGGAGGAAUACCAGUGGCGAAGGCGGCCUUCUGGACUGACACUGACGCUGAGGUGCGAAAGCGUGGGUAGCAAACAGGAUUAGAUACCCGAGUAGUC